GUCAACCUAAAGUAUAUAAAAUUCAGAGGACAAGAUAUUUGAAGCUGGAGACAUUUAGAGAACCAUAAAAAGGUUGCUUCAUGCCAUCCAACAAUCUGAUAUGCAUGUCAUCUUGAUGUUUCUGACCCCGUGCAAUGUGAGCUCCUCAAAGGCAAAGAAAUUAUUUCUAUUGGUGGAGGAAUAUCAGCAAAUCACUAAUGUAAAAGCCUUUUAAAAAUAACAAAAGUAAAAAGAAAACUGCAGUAUUAUAUAGUGGAAAGAAUGAUGGAUUGGAGUCUGAAGAAGCAUGUAUUCAAAUUCUACUUCUGCCACUUCCUACCUCUGUGAACAUGGGUCUUUGCCAGUAAGUGGAGGAGGCACAAGGGCAACAGCUGCCCCUUCCAUUUCCAGGGAAGUGGCAACCCUGAGCCAGAGGAUUGGGGAGAGGAAAGGGAGGGGUCAUGCUGCUUAGGCCAUGGAGACUGGGCGGCUUCAAAAGGGACAGCAGAAUAGGGGGAGGAGACAUGUCUUCUAGCCCCUUUUGGAAGGUUGCAGAUCUGGCUCCUCUCUCCCUUUCUUGUCUGUCUGGAGGAGGAAG